rnacentral:rRNA from 1 species
UAGGGAAUAUUGCACAAUGGGCGCAAGCCUGAUGCAGCCAUGCCGCGUGUAUGAAGAAGGCCUUCGGGUUGUAAAGUACUUUCAGCGGGGAGGAAGGCGAUAAGGUUAAUAACCUUGUCGAUUGACGUUACCCGCAGAAGAAGCACCGGCUAACUCCGUGCCAGCAGCCGCGGUAAUACGGAGGGUGCAAGCGUUAAUCGGAAUUACUGGGCGUAAAGCGCACGCAGGCGGUCUGUCAAGUCGGAUGUGAAAUCCCCGGGCUCAACCUGGGAACUGCAUUCGAAACUGGCAGGCUAGAGUCUUGUAGAGGGGGGUAGAAUUCCAGGUGUAGCGGUGAAAUGCGUAGAGAUCUGGAGGAAUACCGGUGGCGAAGGCGGCCCCCUGGACAAAGACUGACGCUCAGGUGCGAAAGCGUGGGGAGCAAACA